AGUGAACGCUGGCGGUAGGCCUAACACAUGCAAGUCGAACGGCAGCACAGUAAGAGCUUGCUCUUACGGGUGGCGAGUGGCGGACGGGUGAGGAAUACAUCGGAAUCUACUUUUUCGUGGGGGAUAACGUAGGGAAACUUACGCUAAUACCGCAUACGACCUACGGGUGAAAGCAGGGGAUCUUCGGACCUUGCGCGAUUGAAUGAGCCGAUGUCGGAUUAGCUAGUUGGCGGGGUAAAGGCCCACCAAGGCGACGAUCCGUAGCUGGUCUGAGAGGAUGAGCAGGCACACUGGAACUGAGACACGGACAAGACGCCAACGCGAGGGCGCAGGGGGGAAUAGUGGAGAAUGGGCGGAAGCCUGAUCCAGCCAUUGCGGGGGGGAGGAAAAGGCCUGCGUUUUGUAAAUCCUGUUCUGCGGGAAAGAAAAGCAGCAGGUUAAUAGCCCGCCGUGCUGGCGGUACCCAAAGAAUAAGCAACGGCUAACUUCGUG
rnacentral:rRNA from 1 species